CCUACGGGAGGCAGCAGUGAGGAAUAUUGGUCAAUGGACGAGAGUCUGAACCAGCCAAGUAGCGUGAAGGAUGACUGCCCUAUGGGUUGUAAACUUCUUUUAUAUGGGAAUAAAAUGUUCCACGUGUGGGAUUCUGUAUGUACCAUAUGAAUAAGGAUCGGCUAACUCCGUGCCAGCAGCCGCGGUAAUACGGAGGAUCCGAGCGUUAUCCGGAUUUAUUGGGUUUAAAGGGUGCGUAGGUGGAUUGUUAAGUCAGUUGUGAAAGUUCGCGGCUCAACCGUAGAAUUGCAGUUAAUACUGGCGGUCUAGAGUACAGAAGCGGUAGGCGGAAUGCGUGGUGUAGCGGUGAAAUGCUUAGAUAUCACGAAGAACUCCGAUUGCGAAGGCAGCUCACUGGACUGCAACUGACGCUGAGGCUCGAAAGUGUGGGUAGCAAACAGGAUUAGAUACCCGUGUAGUC
rnacentral:rRNA from 1 species